AUUGAACGCUGGCGGCAGGCUUAACACAUGCAAGUCGAACGAGUGGCGGACGGGUGAGUAAUGCUUGGGAAUCUAGCUUAUGGAGGGGGAUAACUACGGGAAACUGUAGCUAAUACCGCGUACCAUAGGAUGAGCCCAAGUGGGAUUAGGUAGUUGGUGGGGUAAAGGCUCACCAAGCCGACGUUCGCUAGCUGGUCUGAGAGGAUGACCCGACACACGGGGACUGAGGAACGGCCCAGACUCCUACGGGAGGCAGCGGAGGGGAAUAUUGCGCAAUGGGGGCAACCUGACGCGGACAUGCCGCGUGGUUGAAGAAGGCCUUCGGGUUGUAAAGUUCUUUCUGUAGCGAGGCGUUAACUACAGAAGAAGCACCGGCUAACUCCGUGCCAGCAGCCGCGGUAAUAC
rnacentral:rRNA from 1 species